rnacentral:rRNA from 1 species
UACGGAGGGGGCUAGCGUUAAUCGGAAUUACUGGGCGUAAAGCGUGCGUAGACGGUCACGUAAGUCGGGUGUGAAAGCCCCGGGCUCAACCUGGGAAUUGCAUUCGAGACUGCAUGGCUAGGGUGCGGAAGAGGGGAGCGGAAUUUCCGGUGCAGCGGUGAAAUGCGUAGAUAUCGGAAGGAACACCAGUGGCGAAAGCGGCUUCCUGGUCCAGCACCGACGUUCAGGCACGAAAGCGUGGGGAGCAAACAGG